rnacentral:rRNA from 1 species
UACGUAGGGUCCGAGCGUUGUCCGGAAUUAUUGGGCGUAAAGAGCUCGUAGGCGGUCUGUUGCGUCGGCUGUGAAAACCCGGGGCUCAACUCCGGGCCUGCAGCCGAUACGGGCAGACUAGAGUUCGGCAGGGGAGACUGGAAUUCCUGGUGUAGCGGUGAAAUGCGCAGAUAUCAGGAGGAACACCGGUGGCGAAGGCGGGUCUCUGGGCAACAACUGACGCUGAGGAGCGAAAGCGUGGGGAGCGAACAGG